rnacentral:rRNA from 1 species
AGCGUACACGGUGGAUGCCCUGGCAGUCAGAGGCGAUGAAGGACGUGCUAAUCUGCGAUAAGCGUCGGUAAGGUGAUAUGAACCGUUAUAACCGGCGAUUUCCGAAUGGGGAAACCCAGUGUGAUUCGUCACACUAUCAUUAACUGAAUCCAUAGGUUAAUGAGGCGAACCGGGGGAACUGAAACAUCUAAGUACCCCGAGGAAAAGAAAUCAACCGAGAUUCCCCCAGUAGCGGCGAGCGAACGGGGAGCAGCCCAGAGCCUGAAUCAGUGUGUGUGUUAGUGGAAGCGUCUGGAAAGGCGUGCGAUACAGGGUGACAGCCCCGUACACAAAAAUGCACAUACUGUGAGCUCGAUGAGUAGGGCGGGACACGUGGUAUCCUGUCUGAAUAUGGGGGGACCAUCCUCCAAGGCUAAAUACUCCUGACUGACCGAUAGUGAACCAGUACCGUGAGGGAAAGGCGAAAAGAACCCCGGCGAGGGGAGUGAAAAAGAACCUGAAACCGUGUACGUACAAACAGUGGGAGCACAGAGCAAUCUGUGUGACUGCGUACCUUUUGUAUAAUGGGUCAGCGACUUAUAUUCUGUAGCAAGGUUAACCGAAUAGGGGAGCCGAAGGGAAACCGAGUCUUAACUGGGCGUUAAGUUGCAGGGUAUAGACCCGAAACCCGGUGAUCUAGCCAUGGGCAGGUUGAAGGUUGGGUAACACUAACUGGAGGACCGAACCGACUAAUGUUGAAAAAUUAGCGGAUGACUUGUGGCUGGGGGUGAAAGGCCAAUCAAACCGGGAGAUAGCUGGUUCUCCCCGAAAGCUAUUUAGGUAGCGCCUCGUGAAUUCAUCUCCGGGGGUAGAGCACUGUUUCGGCAAGGGGGUCAUCCCGACUUACCAACCCGAUGCAAACUGCGAAUACCGGAGAAUGUUAUCACGGGAGACACACGGCGGGUGCUAACGUCCGUCGUGAAGAGGGAAACAACCCAGACCGCCAGCUAAGGUCCCAAAGUCAUGGUUAAGUGGGAAACGAUGUGGGAAGGCCCAGACAGCCAGGAUGUUGGCUUAGAAGCAGCCAUCAUUUAAAGAAAGCGUAAUAGCUCACUGGUCGAGUCGGCCUGCGCGGAAGAUGUAACGGGGCUAAACCAUGCACCGAAGCUGCGGCAGCGACGCUGAUGCGUUGUUGGGUAGGGGAGCGUUCUGUAAGCCUGUGAAGGUGUACUGUGAGGUAUGCUGGAGGUAUCAGAAGUGCGAAUGCUGACAUAAGUAACGAUAAAGCGGGUGAAAAGCCCGCUCGCCGGAAGACCAAGGGUUCCUGUCCAACGUUAAUCGGGGCAGGGUGAGUCGACCCCUAAGGCGAGGCCGAAAGGCGUAGUCGAUGGGAAACAGGUUAAUAUUCCUGUACUUGGUGUUACUGCGAAGGGGGGACGGAGAAGGCUAUGUUGGCCGGGCGACGGUUGUCCCGGUUUAAGCGUGUAGGCUGGUUUUCCAGGCAAAUCCGGAAAAUCAAGGCUGAGGCGUGAUGACGAGGCACUACGGUGCUGAAGCAACAAAUGCCCUGCUUCCAGGAAAAGCCUCUAAGCAUCAGGUAACAUCAAAUCGUACCCCAAACCGACACAGGUGGUCAGGUAGAGAAUACCAAGGCGCUUGAGAGAACUCGGGUGAAGGAACUAGGCAAAAUGGUGCCGUAACUUCGGGAGAAGGCACGCUGAUAUGUAGGUGAAGUCCCUCGCGGAUGGAGCUGAAAUCAGUCGAAGAUACCAGCUGGCUGCAACUGUUUAUUAAAAACACAGCACUGUGCAAACACGAAAGUGGACGUAUACGGUGUGACGCCUGCCCGGUGCCGGAAGGUUAAUUGAUGGGGUUAGCGCAAGCGAAGCUCUUGAUCGAAGCCCCGGUAAACGGCGGCCGUAACUAUAACGGUCCUAAGGUAGCGAAAUUCCUUGUCGGGUAAGUUCCGACCUGCACGAAUGGCGUAAUGAUGGCCAGGCUGUCUCCACCCGAGACUCAGUGAAAUUGAACUCGCUGUGAAGAUGCAGUGUACCCGCGGCAAGACGGAAAGACCCCGUGAACCUUUACUAUAGCUUGACACUGAACAUUGAGCCUUGAUGUGUAGGAUAGGUGGGAGGCUUGGAAGUGUGGACGCCAGUCUGCAUGGAGCCGACCUUGAAAUACCACCCUUUAAUGUUUGAUGUUCUAACGUUGACCCGUGAUCCGGGUUGCGGACAGUGUCUGGUGGGUAGUUUGACUGGGGCGGUCUCCUCCUAAAGAGUAACGGAGGAGCACGAAGGUUGGCUAAUCCUGGUCGGACAUCAGGAGGUUAGUGCAAUGGCAUAAGCCAGCUUGACUGCGAGCGUGACGGCGCGAGCAGGUGCGAAAGCAGGUCAUAGUGAUCCGGUGGUUCUGAAUGGAAGGGCCAUCGCUCAACGGAUAAAAGGUACUCCGGGGAUAACAGGCUGAUACCGCCCAAGAGUUCAUAUCGACGGCGGUGUUUGGCACCUCGAUGUCGGCUCAUCACAUCCUGGGGCUGAAGUAGGUCCCAAGGGUAUGGCUGUUCGCCAUUUAAAGUGGUACGCGAGCUGGGUUUAGAACGUCGUGAGACAGUUCGGUCCCUAUCUGCCGUGGGCGCUGGAGAACUGAGGGGGGCUGCUCCUAGUACGAGAGGACCGGAGUGGACGCAUCACUGGUGUUCGGGUUGUCAUGCCAAUGGCACUGCCCGGUAGCUAAAUGCGGAAGAGAUAAGUGCUGAAAGCAUCUAAGCACGAAACUUGCCCCGAGAUGAGUUCUCCCUGACUCCUUGA